UUCAAGAUUACCAGACAAAAGUUCUAUCUUUACUGCUGAAGCCAAGGCUAUUCAAACAGCCUUGGAAUAUAUCCAGAAACAAACUACACCGUCAAACACGAUGUUGCGAGUGAGCCACGCCCUGGUCCUGAUGCUGGUGAUGCUGAUGCUUAUGCCCGAGAGUGACGGUUGGCGGAGGAGGAGGCGUCGAAGGGUUGUGAUACAGCAAAGCAAUCAUGCCAAUACCAACAACUGCCACUGCGGCGCAAACAUCAAGGAUCUUCUGCACCUGUUUCUCAAGUUGAACGCAAAGAAUCUGGGUAGACGUGACGUUUCAACGAUUCUCGAUGUUGAUGAAGACGACCCACUCCUGGCAGAGGUGAUGCAGAAACGUGAUGGGAUGGUUGCAAAAGAAGAGCUGUAUGAUGCUGCAAAACGAGCAUAUUUUUACACGUCUACUGGCGUGAACAACAAGAACCAUUGUCAUUGUGGACGGCAGGUGCUGCAACACUUUUGACGUAGCCUGGACUGACGAUCCAUCCUCAAUGUCCCGGAGACACGAGUUGCCACAGACUGACAAAUAAACAUGAAGCAUGCA
rnacentral:misc_RNA from 1 species